UACGUAGGUGUCGAGCGUUGUCCGGAUUUAUUGGGCGUAAAGAGCCCGCAGGCGGCUUGGCAAGUUUGAGGUGAAAUCUCCCGGCUUAACUGGGAGGGGGCCUCGAAAACUGCCAGGCUUGAGGCAUGGAGAGGGAUGCGGAAUUCCCGGUGUAGUGGUGAAAUGCGUAGAGAUCGGGAGGAACACCUGUGGCGAAGGCGGCCGACUGGGCCGACCCUGACGCUGAGGCGCGAAGGCGUGGGGAGCGAACGGG
rnacentral:rRNA from 1 species